CCAAUAUAAACAUUUUCUUCUGAUUUUCAUUCUAUCUUUAGAAUGGCAAUUGUGAGAAGAGAAGAAAAAAUAAUGCAAUUUCAAGAAAGUCCUACAGCUUUGAGUUAAUGCUGACAGUGGGUAUCACCACCACGGGGAUAAGUGUGCAUUGCUCAAGUGUACCAUUGGAAGACAUGACUUCAGUGUACCCUUCUUCACAACUGCACAUCCUCGUCUGCAGAAGAACAAGACUUAUACUGUACAUGCAAGGUGAUCUUUUACAGUACCAGGUGUGCUGAAGUUGUUAUAAUGAAGUUUCAAGACAAGAAUAGAUGUCAUAAAGAAACAGUAUUGGUGGCAUGGAAAGAACUGAUAGUUUCAAACCAUACUUGUUCAACUUAGAAUUUUAGCAAAGCAAGAUUUUUCCUUUAUUUGUGGAAUUGAUGAUCCUCUUGGAAUCUAAUCAAAGAACUCUGUCUCCCCCUGUUGCCUCGGAGAGUGGUGUGCUUGGAACAGAUUUUUCUUCCAGAAAAUAACAGUGUGAGAGAGCAAAGCGUUUCUUGCAAUACCCAGUCUUCUGAAGUAGAUACAUGCAUUUCUGUGACAUGUUUUUAAUUCUUUUAAUAUAAAUAGAAUGUUGUUUUCAACUUAUGCUAUUAUAACAGUGCCUCAGUGGUCAGUCUUGUGCAAGCCUCCUGGUGCUUCUUCAAGAAUAACAAUUCUCAAAUUAUGGUCCAGGGACCAGGGAAGACUUCGACAUUCUUUCAGAGUACGUGUGUGAUGAUUUUCCCCUUUAACUACACACCUGGGUCUGAAGUGGUUUGGAUUAAAUGCUGUGACCAAAAGACAUAGACGGACCGAAUGGAUAUAAAAACAAGACCCAAAUAUAUGCUGUCUGUAGAGACCCAGCCAUAAAAAGAACAAAAUAAUGCGAUUUGCAGUGACAUGGACAGACCUAGAGACUCGUCAUACUCAGUGAAGUUAACCGACUUGCCAUCACUUCGAACACAAUCCAGCAUCCUCGUUUUCAUGCCAUUUCCACAAACUGCCUUCUCACUCAGCUGGCACGUACUCCAGUCUGGAAGGAAGGGAGCAUAUCAGAACAGAAGGCUAUGCAUGAACCGGAUUUCAAAUGAAACUCGGAUGACCUGAAUCCCAUAUUUAAUUCACAACUGCUUCCUAAGCCCCGCAGUCAAUCAUCCCACACGCAGAGCGUAUGGGCCCCGGCUUUGAACGUAUCUGGAGUCAAAUGGAAAUGCUGGCGUUGCACAUCGCUACAGGGACUAUUCCUGAGGCAGAUGUCUCCCUGACAAUCUUGCUAGCUAGCUGUUUGGUGAUACUGUAGAAAUGGCUGUGGCCUGCAGAUCAAAUGUCAUUUAAAAACCUUUUUCCUAACGGAAGUAGAAAUUUACAUUUCAACAUUUUUGUUUAAGCAAAAUAAUCAUAAUUUUAAUGGCUCGUACUUUAGGUAGUUAUAUCCAAAUAAAACUGUCUUUCACUUACUGUCCGUACUGUAGAAUACUGUAAAAUGUACGCUUAUUUAUUUCAAAAUCACUUUGGCCAUAUUUAUUUAAUUCCCUUUAUUAUAUAUCUUUUGCAAAAUAAUUCUUUCCAGGGUAACGUAGCAUGCCCCAGAGAACUGUGAUUUCAUUGUGUCAUGAAAGGAAACUGAAGAGAAAAACCAAAAGAACAAAAAGUCAGUCUGACUGCUGUGUGUCACUGUACAGUUUCUGGGGUUUAUUUUGGUGUGAAAAUUACUUGGGAAAAAUUCCAGAGUUAGCUUCAGUGUUGCCCUAAGUCAUACAAACCAUGAAAGUCUUCUUUCCUAGAGUAUAUACCUUGAUGGUAUGAGAUGAGGGUUUGGGAAAGAAAUGGAAUUUAGAAUAAGCCUUUUUUUUCUAAAAAAAACACUCAUCUAUCUUUUUUCACCUACACCUUUGAUAAUAUUUAUAUCUCUGAAAUGUUUAUAUUCUCUUCACGCACUUCUUGGCAAGCUUAAGAUUGCUGAUGUCUUUACAGCAGACUAAUCGUGCCUAUGAACUGCCCCCACGGAAAGAAUUGUUGUCCCAGUAUUCACAGUGAUUAAACACAUUCUGAAGAAGAAAGACAUCUUUCAAUAAACUGAUACCCAUGGGAAGAUAUACCUUUUAUGUGCACCUUCUGAAAGUGGGAGGGUGGCUUAAGUAGGAACCCUUAGACUAUUCUCCGUCUGCCUUAAGAGCUAAUGUUUGUGUGAUAAUUUCAUUCUCUAUUUUGAUGUUUAUGAAAAAUAAGGCAGAUAAAUAUUUCUUUCAUUUAAUACGGAAUUAUUUCUGGGAGAGUAAGCAGCAUGUCCAAAAGGCACGCAGAUGGAGUUGAACAAUACUUCCGGAAAUGCUGCUGAGCUGACAGACGUGGGAUUUGACCUUUAACUCUAUAAGGAGAUGACUGUUCACAUACCUGUUACAUUAUAAUCAUAGUGGAAGCAGUUUUUGUUCAGGUUACAGGGUUCCUUCUCAACAGCAUCAGGGCAGGCUCUUCCUUCAUCAGCAGGUUGUCUGAUGGGAUCAGCUGACCUUUGCCGGAAACUGCUUUGAUUGCAAGGCUGACAAAGAAUAAUAUAGCUCCUCAGAAAGGUGAGUACUCAGCCACACAAGAGCUAAUGUAUUAGGGAGAGCACUGGAGCAAGAGCUAGAACCUUUGGGACACUGGCUAACUUAAACAAUCUCAUAACGCCUCAGUUUCUUCAUUUAUAAAAUCAAGGUGUUGGAUGAGUUUCUGAUGUUCCAGCUAGCUCUAAGAUGCUGGGAACAGGGAACGUUGUUUGCCAUUCCAGUACACAAAGAAUGUUGUCUGCUGCCUCAGUUCUACAAUGAUCAAGGCACCAGCCACUGCAGCUGCUGCAGGUGAUGUGCCCUGAGCGAAACAGGAUGGAGGAAAAGAGGUAGCAUUCUGUGCUUUGGAUACUGACCCAAGAUAGUUAAGAUAUGUCUAGGGAAUAAUUUCAAUAAGCCCAGAUUCUUGCAUCUUCCUAUACCCAGGAAAGCACUAAAGUCAUUAACUAGAGAUGUCUGUUUUAGUGAUUAGCAGUAAUCUUUUGAUGUCUGACUGUAUGUUCUUUCCCAGCAAAAAACUCCUGUUUAUCCUGGCUCCUCCUUUACCUUUUCAGAGCAGUUCCUCAGAGCUAUCUAAAAGGUUGUCUCCCAGGCUAUAAUCCUCAGUAAGAUCCCCGAAUAAAGCUUAACUCGCAACUUUUAAGCUGUGUGUGUUUC